GUUGAACGUGAAAAAGAUGAGCGAGGGGGGAGAACGCCGGUCGCUCAGAGAAUCGGAGACGAAGGAUCUCCGGCCGCCGCCGCUUGCGCCGCUCUCGUGAGAAAGAAAGGAACGUGAAGGUUAAUGGUCACAACUUGAAGAGAAAGAUAGAGAGAAGAAGAAGAGAGAAGGAAGAGCAAGAGGAGAAAAGAGGAAAAGGCUUGGAUCUUCAUCAUUUCUCCGCCGAAUCGAAUCAUCUUCGACAUCAACGACUCGUAAUCGAGGUACUACAGGUUCCGCGAAGGGUAAGGAGAAAGCGAUUUGAUUCCUUAUUCCUUAUGUUUCUUUUUGGAUAUGGCGAAGCUUCCGUUGUGGAUUUCUUUUGUGAUCAUUGUUUGAUCUAGUUCUUAGUAUUUUCUUUUGGACAUCUUGUAUGUAUUAUGUCAUUUGGUAGAACUUUUGUGUUAGGGCAUUAAUAUGUAUAAUGUGUUGACAAGGAACUUAUAAGUAUUUUCAGUACCAAAUACUUGGAUUCAU